CUGUCAUGCAUCACUAUUACUUGGGGAGCUGCGGGUAUCGUCACUCUUAUGUCAAUACCAUUGACACUUACGUCGUAUUUAUGUCCUUCCCGUCCACUGACAAUAAGGGAGGGGGGAAACUAGGUAAAAGGGGAAGUAGGGGGAGGGGGUGUCGGUCUACUAAUAGUGGGAGUGUAUGCUAAGGGUUUAAUAGCCGCUGUGGUUUUAGAGACACUGGG